UGUUCACGUGGUCUGAUGGAGUGAGCUGUUGUGAUAUUUGUUGUACUGUUGGUAGAUAAGCCUUCAAAUAAUGUGUGCGCUAUUGAGGGGGGUGUGUGUACUAUGUAAGGAUACAGAGAGCGUUGAGAACUGAGAAGGAAAGAAAUUAGAGGGGACACAGAGAAUCGUGAGCACAGACAGAGCAGACAGCCAAGAGUCGGCACACUGGCUGGAACUCUCCUUCUCUCUCUUUCUAUUUCUAUUUCUUUUUUUUCUUUUUCUUUUUUUCAUUUUCUUCAAAGCUUCAAAUUUUGAUUGAGUUUGUUGGAGCCGUUUGCGGCAAAUUAGAGGGCUUGUUGAGAUCUACACAGUGAUAUAAGCAUUUCUUAUUUGGCCAACCCUAGGAAUUUCGAAAUUAGGGUACAAAAUUUGGAGUUUUUGCAUCUUAAGAGUACGUGACAUGCAUUCAUAGCAUUGGACAUGAAAGGAAAGGGCAAAGAGAUUUGAAAUGAAAGAAAAAGGGAUUUUGGGGAGAAUUUGGAUAAAAUGGUUUUGAGAAAACCUGAUCACCGCAGAGUCACCAAAGGGCCGUGGUGUUAAGAUAACCUAGAGGGAAUUAGGGAAAUCACCCUAACGUGGUUGAGCUAGCUGGGCCCAAAUGACGCCACGGGGGUACCAAGGGUCAGGGACAGUAGCCAAUCCUUCUCUCGUGUCACUGCGGAGUCACCAACAGAAGGAUUAUAUUAACAGUUUGAAAAGUGAUGGAUUUGGAUUUUGAAAAUGAGGAGCGACAUAGCACGGCAUUGCAUUUCAUGGACACGGAAAGGAAGUGGCGAACAACCAUCCAUCACAAGUUUAGACGAGAUUGGAGAUUUAUAUUUUGCUAAUUUUUUUUAAAACUUUAAAAUUUUAUAAAUAUAAAUCUUCACUAUUAUGUAAAAUUUUAGUAUAAUUUGUAUAAUGUUGUAAAUUAUGGGAUUUUGAUUUCAGAGGUAUUUCAUGAAUUGUAAAUUGACGUAAUUAGAGUACGUUCCUUGUAAAGGAGUAUGGGCCUAGGUAGUGGACUGGUGUUUCCAUAUUUUUUUAAAGAAGUUGGAGUAACGGGACUCUUUUUAUAUGCAUAUUGUUGUUUUGGGAAUGUUUUCUAUUAUUUGCAUUGUGUGUUGGGACAUGAUAGGUUAGUUUAUGGCCAAGUGAGGCCAU